UACGGAGGGUGCAAGCGUUGUCCGGAUUUAUUGGGUUUAAAGGGUGCGUAGGCGGUUCUUUUAAGUCUGGGGUGAAAGCCCGUUGCUCAACAGCGGAACUGCCCUGGAAACUGGAGGACUUGAGUACAGACGAGGGUGGCGGAAUGGAUGCUGUAGCGGUGAAAUGCAUAGAUAGCAUCCAGAACCCCGAUUGCGAAGCAGCUGCCUAGACUGU
rnacentral:rRNA from 1 species